rnacentral:rRNA from 1 species
UACGUAGGGUGCAGGCGUUAAUCGGAAUUACUGGGCGUAAAGCGUGCGCAGGCGGUUUGCUAAGACAGGUGUGAAAUCCCCCGGGCUUAACCUGGGAACUGCGCUUGUUACUGGCAAGCUUGAGUGUGGCAGAGGGGGGGUGGAAUUCCACGUGUAGCAGUGAAAUGCGUAGAGAUGUGGAGGAACACCGAUGGCGAAGGCAGCCCCCUGGGCUAACACUGACGCCUCAUGCACGAAAGCGUGGGGAGCAAACGGG